AUUAACUGUACAAAACACAUGACUCCUCAAUUAUUCUCAAAAUAAUUUUAAGUCAUCGCACCUCAAAGUGAUUGAACUCGUCGGGUUUCCACGGUGGAUCCCAUCACAAUACUCGUCGCACACUAAUUCGUCGUCCUUAAAGGGUUUUACAGUCGUGUGAUUGUACGGUUCAUAG
rnacentral:pre_miRNA from 1 species